GCCAUAGAGAGAGAUAGCUCAGUUGGUAAGCAUGAGACUCAUUCUUCAGGUCGUGGGUUUGAGCCCCAUGUUCGGCA